CAGUCGCCACGGUAAUACGGAGGGUGCGAGCGUUAAUCGGAAUAACUGGGCGUAAAGGGCACGCAGGCGGUUAUUUAAGUGAGGUGUGAAAGCCCCGGGCUUAACCUGGGAAUUGCAUUUCAGACUGGGUAACUAGAGUACUUUAGGGAGGGGUAGAAUUCCACGUGUAGCGGUGAAAUGCGUAGAGAUGUGGAGGAAUACCGAAGGCGAAGGCAGCCCCUUGGGAAUGUACUGACGCUCAUGUGCGAAAGCGUGGGGAGCAAACAGGAUUAGAUACCCCGGUAGUCCCUGUCUCUUAUAC
rnacentral:rRNA from 1 species